rnacentral:rRNA from 1 species
GACGAACGCUGGCGGCGUGCUUAACACAUGCAAGUCGAGCGAGCCCCUUCCUUCGGGAGGGUGUGCUAGCGGCGAACGGGUGAGUAACACGUGGGCAACCUGCCCUCAGCUCUGGGAUAACUCCAAGAAAUUGGGGCUAAUACCGGAUAUGACUGCUGACCGCAUGGUCUGGUGGUGGAAAGAUUUAUCGGCUGGGGAUGGGCGGCCUAUCAGCUUGUUGGUGGGGUAGUGGCCUACCAAGGCGACGACGGGUAGCCGGCCUGAGAGGGUGACCGGCCACACUGGGACUGAGACACGGCCCAGACUCCUACGGGAGGCAGCAGUGGGGAAUAUUGGACAAUGGGCGCAAGCCUGAUCCAGCAAUGCCGCGUGAGUGAGGAAGGCCUUAGGGUUGUAAAGCUCUUUCGCACGCGACGAUGAUGACGGUAGCGUGAGAAGAAGCCCGGCUAACUUCGUGCCAGCAGCCGCAGUAAU